CGGCGGCCGGCGAAUGGGCGGAUCGAAAGACGCGCUGUUGGCGCCGCGGAUGAAUUCGGGGCUCGACCGGCCGUGACUAGAGCGCGGGGGGUUUGACGGGCCGCCGCGCCGCUCCGGCAACCGCUGCCGCGGCGUCCCGCUCCGCCCAUGGCCUCCGCGCUGGAGGACCCCGCUUUGAUCCGGACUCUCCGGGGCCACAGAGCGGCGGUGACGGGCGUCGCUUUCAAUGCGGACGGCGCGGGGCUGGCUACCUCCUCUUUGGAUAGGUUUCUCAUGGUGUGGAAGUUGAAGGCACAGUGCAGAGCUUACAAAUUCAUAGGCCAUGCAGAAGCAGUGACCAGCAUCCAGUUCUCACCAGAUGGGCAGCUUCUUGCUUCGGCUUCUCAAGAUCGUACUGUCAGACUAUGGAUUCCUUGCAUUCAUGGAGAGUCAUCGGUACUGAAAGGUCAUACAGCAUCUGUUCGUUGUGUAAACUUCUCGCAUGAUGGCCACUUUCUAGUUUCAGCGUCCAAUGAUAAAUCAAUAAAAAUAUGGAGUGUUCGCCAUCAGCGUCUUUUGUUUUCCCUAUUCCAACACACUCAUUGGGUUUGCUGUGCCAAGUAUUCCCCUGAUGGAAGACUAAUAGCCUCUUGCAGUGAGGAUAAAUCUGUUAAGAUCUGGGAUACAAGAAAUAAAACUUGUAUUGAUAGCUUCUUAGAUUAUGAAGGAUUUGCAAAUUUUGUGGAUUUCAACCCAAGCGGUACCUGUAUAGCUUCUGCAGGUUCCAAUCAUACAGUGAAACUGUGGGAUAUUCGAAUGAAAAAGUUACUGCAGCAUUACCAAGUUCACAGAGCAGGGGUUAAUUGUGUAUCGUUCCACCCUUCUGGUAACUAUCUCAUCACUGCUUCUACUGAUGGUACCCUUAAGAUUUUGGACCUCUUAGAAGGAAGACUUAUUUACACUCUUCAUGGACACAAGGGACCCGUACUUUCAGUGGCUUUUUCAAAAGGUGGUGAGAAAUUUGCCUCAGGUGGAGCAGAUGCUCAGGUAUUACUAUGGAAAACCAACUUUGAUUCACUUGAUUAUAAAGAAGUUCUUAAACACCAUAUUAGAAGAACACAUAUUGAUGAUCCUCCUCAUCUUCUUGAUAUUUACCCAAGGUCACCUCAUCUCCAUGAUGAAAAACUUCAGUCAGUUGAGGACACAAACGAUGCAUGUCAGGAAAAGAUUUCAGGUUCAGCUGCCGAUAGUAUGCUGCAAACAUGCCAGCCAUUGAAGUGUCAACCCUACCUUUGAUGUGACUAAUACACAAACACUUGACCCACCUGUCAUCGAGAUUAGUUCCUCUUCAUCUUUCAGUACUCCAGAUGAUGUCAGCAGUGAGGAUCUGCAGCAUUCCCCUGCUUCAGUCUUGCCAAGAAGUUCGAAAAGGAAGACAGAGAAUGAGGUCAGAUCAGCUGUGCAUGACAUGGACAAGCAAACAGGCAUCUCCCCCUCCCUGGGUAAUGCUUUGGAACAAAUUGUGGGGCAGCUGGAUGUUUUAACUCUAACUAUUUCAAUCCUGGAACAACGUCUGACUUUGACUGAAGAUAAAUUGAAAGAAUGCUUAGAAAAUCAGCAACAAAUGCUACUUCAAGGAAGGCGGGAAGAAUAAAAGAUGAAAUCAAAACGGUAUUGAUGAAUAUGUUUCAUAUAUUCACAAGGAAAUAAUAAAGGUUACUUCAUUGGAUUUUGCUAUAAGCAAAACAAAAGUCCUCCUUUUCUAGCAAGUCAAUGUAAUAACAAGUGAGGAAAAAAAAUAUACAACACAUUUUAAACAUGGUUAGCAGGCAGAUAUUCUGGCUCUAUAUUUAAUGAAAUGUAGCCUAGCCAAAAUGGAUAUUUUUCUAAAAUCAUUCCCACUGAACAGUACAGGACUCUUGUUUCAACCUAAUAACAUCUUUAGAUAUGGCUAAGCAACAAACUAUGUAUAUUUAGAUUAAUAGCAAUUAUUUUGGAAGUGUACUAUGCAGGUUUUUUAAUUCAGGUAAGCAUUGUGAAAAAAACGUUCUUCGUGUUAAGGCCACAUUACUCAAGCACCUACAUUAUAUAAUGCCUAAUUAGCCCUAAUUCCAAGAAUGCCAGAGGUUUUCUUUGUCCCUUAUAUACUCUCAGAUAUUUCACAAAACAGUAGCAACAGUUACUCUCUAUCUUCUAAAUAUUUUAGUGAUGAUUGCAAGAAGAUGUAGUGUAAAAACUUUUAGCUAUAAACAUGAAGUUACUUAAACUUUGAAAUUGUAAUUGCAUCUUUGUGAAUUCAGCUGCCAGACUGAUGCAGUCGAGCACUUCUGCUUAUCUCAUCCCCAUCAAAAUUCACUUCUCAUAUUUAGAAAAAUAAAAAUCAGCUUCAUACUUCUGAAGAAUAUGUUUGAACCAAACAUAAAAUGAUGCGAAAUCUAUAUCCUAGGUACAAAAGAUUCUCAUUCUCCAAAGAAUUCCACAGGUGCUCAAGCUUUUCGUGCUAUGAAUGUCCCCCAUCAGUUAAUGCGGUAUGAAUGAAGCUAUAAAAGAGGAAAGACUUUGCAAUGUAUGAUGAUUUUGGUUUUAUUUUUAAUAAAAAUGCAAUUUUUAGCAAAA